UACCGGCUGAACUUAAGCAUAUCAAUAAGCGGAGGAAAAGAAACCAACAGGGAUUGCCCUAGUAACGGCGAGUGAAGCGGCAACAGCUCAAAUUUGAAAUCUGGCCCUUGGGUCCGAAUUGUAAUUUGUAGAGGAUGAUUUUGGUGCGGUACCUUCCGAGUUCCUUGGAACAGGACGCCUUAGAGGGUGAGAGCCCCGUACGGUAGGAUACCUAGCCUCUGUAAAUCUCCUUCGACGAGUCGAGUAGUUUGGGAAUGCUGCUCUAAAUGGGAGGUAAAUUUCUUCUAAAGCUAAAUACUGGCCAGAGACCGAUAGCGCACAAGUAGAGUGAUCGAAAGAUGAAAAGCACUUUGAAAAGAGGGUUAAAUAGCACGUGAAAUUGUUGAAAGGGAAGGAUUUAUGACCAGACUUUUUCUGGGCAGAUCAUCCGGUGUUCUCACCGGUGCACUUUGCCCAGUUUAGGCCAGCAUCGAUUUCCGGAGGGGGAUAAAAGCUUUGGGAAUGUGGCUCCCUCGGGAGUGUUAUAGCCCAUUGUAUAAUACCUUUCUGGGGAUCGAGGUACGCGCUUCUGCAAGGAUGCUGGCGUAAUGGUUAUCAAUCACCCGUCUU
rnacentral:rRNA from 1 species